UGCAGCUGUGUCAAAUUCAGCGCUUGCCCCACCCAAGACUGGCAUUGCCCGCCAAACUGCCACAGAGACAUUGUAACUCAUGGGCCCUGUUCCUCUCUGCUGAGCCUCAGGGAUAAAUUUUUUUACAGACAUUG